CCGGCACGGGUGAGUAACACGUAUGCAAUCCACCUGUAACAGGGGAUAACCCGGAGAAAUCCGGACUAAUACCCCAUAAUAUGGGCGCUCCGCAUGGAGAGCCCAUUAAAGAGAGCAAUUUUGGUUACAGACGAGCAUGCGCUCCAUUAGCCAGUUGGCGGGGUAACGGCCCACCAAAGCGACGAUGGAUAGGGGUUCUGAGAGGAAGGUCCCCCACAUUGGAACUGAGACACGGUCCAA
rnacentral:rRNA from 1 species